CUGGAACUUGAAGAAUAGUUUUAUCAGGUAAAGCGAAUGAUUAGAAGCUCUGGGGGAUGAAACAUCCUCGACUUAUUCUCAAAACUUUAAAUAGGUAAGAUGAUUGCAGUACUUAAUUGACUGUCAGUCUCUUGAAUAGAAAGUUCUUAGUGGGCCAUUUUUGGUAAGCAGAACUGGCGAUGUGGGAUGAACCAAACGUAAAGUUAAAGUGCCUAAAAAAUACGUUCAUCAGAUACCACAAAAGGUGUUGAUUCAUCUUGACAGUUGGACAGUGGCCAUGGAAGUCGGAAUCUGCUAAGGAGUGUGUAACAACUCACCAACCGAAUGAAUUAGCCCUGAAAAUGGAUGGCGCUUAAACGUAUUACUUAUACUUUACCAUUAAGAUAAAUGCUAAAUCUUAAUGAGUAGGAGGGCGUAUGGAUAAUUUAGAAGAGUUGACAGUAAUGUUGAUUGGAAUAUCUUUAGUGCAGAUCUUGGUGGUAGUAG
rnacentral:rRNA from 1 species